UACGGAGGGUGCAAGCGUUAAUCGGAUUUACUGGGCGUAAAGCGCACGUAGGUGGUUUGUUAAGUCGGAUGUGAAAUCCCCGGGCUCAACCUGGGAGCGGCAUUCGAUACUGGCAAACUGGAGUACGAGAGAGGGGGGUGGAAUUCCAGGUGUAGCGGUGAAAUGCGUAGAUAUCUGGAGGAACACCGGUGGCGAAGGCGGCCCCUGGCUCAAGAUUGACGCUCAUGCACGAAAGCGU
rnacentral:rRNA from 1 species